UGCCUAAUACAUGCAAGUCGAACGAAGAGCUUGGAGUAGCAAUACCCUGAGUACUCUUAGUGGCGAACGGGUGAGUAACGCGUUGGUGACCUACCCCAAAGAUAGGGAUAACAGUUCGAAAGGACUGCUAAUACCUUAUGUUGUCAUUUUGAUUAGAUGCUAAAUGACUAAAGGAGCUUGCUCCGCUUUGGGAGGGGCCUGCGUCCCAUCAGCUAGUUGGUAGGGUAAUGGCCUACCAAGGCGAUGACGGGUAGGGGACCUGAGAGGGUGGCCCCCCACAAUGGAACUGAAACACGGUCCAUACACCUACGGGUGGCAGCAGUAGGGAAUAUUGGUAAUGUGCGAAAGCGCGAACCAGCAACGCCGCGUGUGCGAAGACGGCCUUCGGGUUGUAAAGCACUUUUCGGGAGGAAGAGGAAGGACUGUACUCCCGGAAUAAGUCUCGGCUAACUACGUGCCAGCAGCCGCGGUAAUACGUAGGAGGCAAACGUUAUCCGGAUUUACUGGGCGUAAAGCGCGUGCAGGCUGUUCAAUAAGUUGGGCGUGAAAGCUCCCGGCUCAACUGGGAGAGGUCGUUCAAUACUGUUGGACUAGAGGAUGGUAGAGGAAGGUGGAAUUCCGGGUGUAGUGGUGAAAUGCGCAGAUAUCCGGAGGAACACCAGUGGCGAAAGCGGCCUUCUGGACCAUUCCUGACGCUCAGACGCGAAAGCUAGGGUAGCGAACGGGAUUAGAGACCCCGGUAGUCCUAGCUGUAAACGAUGUGAACUUGGCGUCGGUGGGAUUAAAUCCAUCGGUGUCGUAGCUAACGCGAUAAGUUCACCGCCUGAGGACUACGGCCGCAAGGUUAAAACUCAAAGGAAUUGACGGGGACCCGCACAAGCAGCGGAGCGUGUGGUUUAAUUCGUUGCUACACGAAGAACCUUACCUGGGUUUGACAUAUAGGUUGUAGGGAACUGAAAAGGGACCGACCAUUCGGGGAGCCUAUACAGGUGUUGCAUGGCUGUCGUCAGCUCGUGUCGUGAGAUGUUCGGUUAAGUCCGCUAACGAGCGCAACCCUCGCCGUAUGUUAUACGUGUCAUACGGGACUGCCGGUAAUAAGCCGGAGGAAGGUGGGGAUGAUGUCAAGUCAGCAUGACCUUUAUAUCCAGGGCUACACACACGCUA
rnacentral:rRNA from 1 species